AGAAUCUUAAGUUAAUAAAACUAUUGACCUUCAAAGUCAAAAAUAAUUCUAAUUAGAUUUUA
rnacentral:tRNA from 1 species